UUUGCGACUGUCGGAUGUGUGUUUUCUCGAGUUUGCGCGAAUUCUCUAAAGGGUUCUUUUCCAAUGAGUUCUGAUUGACUAUAGUUGUUUUAGAACGUUUUCGUAGUGCUGAAUUUUUAGAAUAAAGGAAACAUUUAUCAUAUCAUUCUGUGAUUUGGUGUUUUGCGUGUGCAAGGGUGAAGAAAAUCUAUCAAAAAGCUGACCUUGACGUCUGGCUGGACCACUGGGUGCUGAAUUCCUGAAGUCUACCACGGGUGUAUGUGCAAUGAUUCUUGAAGUGUGCCAGGCGCAGGACUGAAAGAUUUCUGUGCUCUCGAUGUUGAUGCAACCUAUGUAAUCCAGUGACCGGAAGCGGAGUGUUGUAUUUUUAUUAUCAAUUUUAUUCGUGCUACAUUUUUAUGUGACGGUUGUGUGGAAAAGGAAAAGAGCAAUAACUUGAAAUCACAUUCAAUUGUUGAAGAUUGCUGAGUGCUACUAUUUUACAAUUCUGUUUACAAUACUGUCACAACCGAACGUGCCCAUUAAUACUAAAUAGGAAGCGACAGUCACCCCAGCUUCACAGCCUCUGAGCAUCGAUAUACCACGGUCAAAGCUAUAGGGAAGCGAAACCUGUCUGAUAAUAAUGUGCCUCUUCUGAUAUACCUAUGAUAGUGUGUGAGAGAGCAGCAAAAGAGUGAGUUUUAAUCAAAAAUCUGCUUCGAAGGAUAUCGACUAGUGUUAGCGGUUUUAACUGGACCGGAGAAUUAUACCGCAUUUGUGUGUGGUUGGUUUUUGUAUGUGGUGAUUGAUCUUUUUGUAACCUAGCAACUUUUGACUAGUGGCAAAAUUAUCUGUGACAGCUGAUAAGAACAAAAGUGCGGUCUAUCACCUUUUUUAUGGAGCAGUCCUGAUUACAACAGUAAAAAUCUUGGAAAAGAACCCUUACGCGUCACCGAUAUACCUUCAAGGCUUUUCAACAGUGCCCCACCUAUGUUCGAUUCGACGAAAGUUACCCACUCGACCGGGGGUAAAACCAGCACUUAACAAUGACUCUAAUUGUUAGAGGCGUCAAUCACUG